GAGCUGGCGCGCAUGCGUAAUUCUCACGCCCCCGCCUCGCGCUGUAGCCGUUGCGCUCCUUAAAGGGGCUCUCCGGAGGGAUUUGAGGGAAGGGGGCAAUUACCUGACAGGCCUUGGACGAAUAGUCCGGUAGUUGCCUGCCUCCAGGAGUGAGCCGUUUAUGUUUGGUAGCCCUUGGCUUUCAACUUUUCAAAUUGUGAUGAAUGACAUUUCUGACAUGUCAAAAUGAAACCCCUGCUUGGCUUAACGACAUGCGGCCUGACUUCACAACAUUACCCUCUUGUAUGGCCCCAGUUCUGCUUACUGCCCAGAGCAGCACAGUACUUCAUCAGAAGUAAGAUGGAUGUGCCUGCCCUCCCUGGGGACUCCCCUCAUCUACCAGUUGUCACGGUCUACACUAUCUACUCAGUUGAGUAGCUAAACUUGGAUGAUGGGAGGAAACAACUAAGAAGGACCUGUUGCAUGAAAUAAAUCCCUCCUUUUCUACCUCAAAUAUUCCCAAUGCUACCUCGGGGAGUCAGGCUUUGAAGACCCAGGAGAGAAUUUAACAGGCAAUUUUGU